AGCUUUGGCUGGUCCGGUUUGGGCUGUUCCGGUUUCGGCUCGGGCUUGAGGUCGACCUUGGCCUCGACCUUUGGUUCGACCUUGGACUCGGGCUU
rnacentral:tRNA from 1 species